CCAGAUACCUUUUGUCACGUUUUGGUGCGUCAAAAGUGAAUAUUUUGUAAAGAUUAUCAAUUGAUAGACGUUUUGUGGUUUGUGAUGGAUGUCCCGCGACGAGUCGGUCACCUGUUCGAAGUCAUUCAAAUCUUCCAUUUGCAUUCCAGUCCAAUCCAAUCUUUUCACUCCCAUGCACCCACCACACUGAUAAGAGUUUUAGCUUCCUUUGUUUUGGAUUUCUCUGGCCCGCCGUCAAGAACUUUUCAAUGCAAGUCUGCAAAUUGACUUCAUUGUAGACGCGCGCGGUGCUAAUGAAUUGAAGCAGUCGUAAUGGACAUGAAGACAAUAAGCACUCAUUAGUACCCCCACCCGUCGCGCCCGCCCGCCCGCACCUCCGAGGACACAUGCAGAUAGAUGUAGAGACAAUUGAAGCGUGUGUCACCGCACAGCACAGGGAAGCUGAUGUCGGUGACGGUGGCUCCAUGCAGCACCUGCCCGACACAAGCACCCUUUCUUUUUCACGCGCAAGCGGCUCCGUCCGCUGAGGCGUGUCGACGGGAUUCGACGCUUUCCCGACCCGAAUUCGGACCUUUACCCGCAAUCGGCGCAAAUUGACUUCAUUGUAGACGCAUUCGUGGACGUGCAUGGUCGCCGAAAGCGCGCCGAUGGGCGUUAUGCGCACGCACCCACGCACGCGUACGUGCGUGCUUGCGAGUGCGGGUGGGGCGAGGGGUGAGAGGUCAAGUACUUUGCGUCCCCAUGAGAUGAUGAAAAGGUCAAAAUGGUGAAAAGGGACCACAAAAGAACAUUUGCCUCGGACACAAUGGCGCGCCAACCGAGGUGAGCGUGGAUUGGCUGCAGGCUCGAUUCCUUUCAGCGGCACCAGCUGCGCAAGGUCGCGGGGAGGGAGGGGGUCUACGGCACAUUUUGGGGGAGGACCAUUGAGGGGGACUGUGCGUGUACUUGUGGCUCUCUAUCUGUUUGUGUGUCUCGUCAUACUGUGUCGUCUUUGUAGGGGGUGGUGAAGGUUGGUCUGUGUGUGUGUGUGUGUGUGUGUGUGUGUGUGUGUGUGUGUGUGUGUGUGUGUGUGUGUGUGUGUGUGCGUGUGUGUGUGUGACCAUGAUGAUGAGGAGUUGGGUUCAGGGCUCUAUUUAAAUGUUUAUGAAUAUUUGGUUUGAUCAUGAGCUAAUAUGCUACAUGUACAUGUCACAUCGGAAUAAAUUUUGUUUUGUUUGCUUUAUAAUGAUUAAUGAUAAAUCAGAUUCAUGGUUUUCAUAGAGGAGGCCCCUAACCCAGCCACAGAGUCAAUGGUAUCGUCUGAUCUAUAAAAAUGCUGCGGUAGUGAUUCGGAACGGGAAUUCCCCAUCUCUUGAAUCACUCCAAAUUUUGAGCAAUAUUGGCUUUGAUAAUGUACUACAAUUGCUAAUGCUACGUGAACAUGUCAUUGCUUCCCAAGGAUUUAUUUUCUUUUUUUUCCGUCGUCACCUGCCAACAAGGAAAAGCUCUUCUCAAGACUCCUAUGCUAAAUGCUAAAGCUAACAUCUGGCGAGCCCGAGAGCGGCCGAUUAGCCAAUUAGCUCGUUGGCCCGGAAGGCGACUCCAAGGUCGGGAAACGAAUGGCUGGGGACGUCCCCGUUUCCUUUAUUCGCGGCUCCGCCAAACUUGAUUUUUUUUGUUUUGUUCUGCUUUUCUAAUGGACGUUUGUCCAAAUGUAACCUUGGACUUUUUAUGGACUGAUGGGUGAGGAAGACGAAGGUGAACAUGAUGAUUUAACCAUGAGGGCUAAUAAAGAAGCUCCUUCUUUCUGA